CAAUAAUCAUGAUGGUCAAAGCUCAUGAGGGUUGUGCGUUUUUGACGUACAAUUUUCUAGAGAUU
rnacentral:sRNA from 1 species